UACGAAGGGUGCAAGCGUUACUCGGAAUUACUGGGCGUAAAGCGUGAGUAGGUGGUUUCUUAAGUCUGCUGUGAAAGCCCCGGGCUCAACCUGGGAAUUGCAGUGGAUACUGGGAAGCUAGAGUGCGGUAGAGGGUAGUGGAAUUCCCGGUGUAGUGGUGAUAUGCGUAGAUAUCGGGAGGAACACCAGUGGCGAAGGCGGCUCUCUGGGCCUUUCCUGACGCUGAGACGCGAAAGCGUGGGGAGCGAACCGG
rnacentral:rRNA from 1 species